rnacentral:rRNA from 1 species
CAGUAGCCGCGGUAAUACAAGGGGGGCAAGCGUUGUUCGGAAUUAUUGGGCGUAAAGGGUGCGUAGGCGGCUUGACAAGUCUUGUGUGAAAUCUAUGGGCUCAACCCAUAGUCUGCACGGGAAACGGUCGGGCUUGAGAAUGGGAGAGGUGAGUGGAAUUUCCGGUGUAGCGGUGAAAUGCGUAGAUAUCGGAAGGAACACCUGUGGCGAAAGCGGCUCACUGGACCAUUUCUGACGCUGAUGCACGAAAGCUAGGGGAGCAAACAGGAUUAGAUACCCCAGUAGUCCCUGUCUCUUAUAC